rnacentral:rRNA from 1 species
CUAUGCUUAGCCCUAAACAUUGACUGUUUAUUACAUAAACAUCCGCCUGGGAACUACGAACAUUAGUUUAAAACCCAAAGGACUUGGCGGUGCUUAAUAUCCACCUAGAGGAGCCUGUCCUAUAACCGAUAAUCCCCGUUAAACCUCACCUUCUCUCGCAAUAUCAGCCUAUAUACCGCCGUCGCCAGCUUACCCUUUGAAGGACUAACAGUAAGCACAAUUGGUACAACCCAAUACGUCAGGUCGAGGUGUAGCCUAUGAGAAGGGAAGAGAUGGGCUACAUUCACUAACAUAGUGAAUACGAAUAGUAUAUUGAAACAUAUACUUGAAGGAGGAUUUAGCAGUAAGCAGGAAAUAGAGUGUUCUGCUGAAGCCGGCUCUUAAGCGCGUACAUACCGCCCGUCACCCUCGCCAAGCCCUACCAAUUAUUUUUUCUAAAUCACUUAUAAAGCUAAGGAGAGGAAAGUCGUAACAUGGUAA